CACCACUAUGUGGGUUUUAAUUUCACUUCUAUAAGAAAUUUUUUAAUUAUAUUCACUCAUUUGUGGAUCUUACAGGUCUUCAAAACGAAUUGCAGUAUACUAGGAAAAUCUAUGUCACCGGCACGGAAGAGCACACAAAACCACCAUGAACGUGCUUACAAUAGCUGGAAUCAUAGGAGAAGAAGGCAUCGAGUGAAAAAGCUGAAUUUUAAUUGAGCAAGAGAUUCACAUGUUGCGAGAAAAAAGAUUUGCUCAAUGGAAAGAGAGGUCACCAACUAAGCUUUGGUAUAAAGGGGAGAUCAUAUAAGGAAGUGGAACUCAGGAGCAUCCAACACUUAUAUCCUUUAGAGACCCUGACCAUCUUUAUUUUCACUAAAUUUUUGGAGAAGGUAUGGGAAAAUCUUACUUUAAAGCUUUUUGGUUCAAGUACACAACAGUAGAUACGGAUAUUAGAUAUUCUGGUUGAAAUUAUUGGGAUCAAGUCAGUCAGUUUAUCAUUCAGUAUGUAUUCCAAGCAACAAUUCACUUAGUAUGACGGA